rnacentral:rRNA from 1 species
AUUGAACGCUGGCGGCAGGCCUAACACAUGCAAGUCGAACGAGUGGCGGACGGGUGAGUAAUGUCUGGGAAACUGCCUGAUGGAGGGGGAUAACUACUGGAAAAGGUAGCUAAUACCGCAUACCAUCGGAUGUGCCCAGAUGGGAUUAGCUAGUAGGGGGGGUAACGGCUCACCUAGGCGACGAUACCUAGCUGGUCUGAGAGGAUGACCAGCAAGACUGGAAAUGAGACACGGUGCAGACUCCGACGGGAGGCAGCAGUGGGGAAGAUUGCACAAUGGGCGCAAGCCUGAUGCAGCCAUGCCGCGUGUAUGAAGAAGGCCUUCGGGUUGUAAAGUACUCUCAGCGGGGAGGCGUUACCCGCAGAAGAAGCACCGGCUAACGCCGUGACAGCAGCCGCGGUAAUUC